GUUGGAAUCAUCAGGGGAGCUUGUGAAAACAUAGAUUCUGAUUCAGAAUGGAGGAGGAACUGAGAAUCUAUAUUUCUGAUAAGCCCUCAAGUGAUGCCAGU
rnacentral:pre_miRNA from 1 species